rnacentral:rRNA from 1 species
UGCGUAGGGGGCAAGCGUUAUCCGGAUUUACUGGGUGUAAAGGGAGCGUAGACGGAAUUGCAAGUCUGAUGUGAAAAUCCGGGGCCCAACCCCGGAACUGCAUUGGAAACUGUAUUUCUAGAGUGUCGGAGAGGCAAGUGGAAUUCCUGGUGUAGCGGUGAAAUGCGUAGAUAUCAGGAGGAACACCAGUGGCGAAGGCGGCUUGCUGGACGAUGACUGACGUUGAGGCUCGAAAGCGUGGGGAGCAAACAGG